AGCGAACGCUGGCGGCAGGCCUAACACAUGCAAGUCGAACGGAUCCUUCGGGAUUAGUGGCGGACGGGUGAGUAGCACGUGGGAACGUGCCCUUUGGUUCGGAACAACUCAGGGAAACUUGAGCUAAUACCGGAUGUGCCCUUCGGGGGAAAGAUUUAUCGCCAUUGGAGCGGCCCGCGUCUGAUUAGCUAGUUGGUGAGGUAACGGCCCACCAAGGCGACGAUCAGUAGCUGGUCUGAGAGGAUGAUCAGCCACACUGGGACUGAGACACGGCCCAGACUCCUACGGGAGGCAGCAGUGGGGAAUCUUGCGCAAUGGGCGAAAGCCUGACGCAGCCAUGCCGCGUGAAUGAUGAAGGUCUUAGGAUUGUAAAAUUCUUUCAGCGGGGACGAUAAUGACGGUACCCGCAGAAGAAGCUCCGGCUAACUUCGUG
rnacentral:rRNA from 1 species